AUUGAACGCUGGCGGCAGGCUUAACACUUGCACGUCGAACGAGUGGCGGACGGGUGAGUAAUGCUUGGGAAUCUAGCUUAUGGAGGGGGAUAACUACGGGAAACUGUAGCUAAUACCGCGUACCAUAGGAUGAGCCCAAGUGGGAUUAGGUAGUUGGUGAGGUAAAGGCUCACCAAGCCGACGAUCUCUAGCUGGUCUGAGAGGAUGACCAGCAAAACUGGGACUGGGACAGGUCCCAGACUCCUCGGGGGGGCAGCAGUGGGGAUAUUGCGCAAUGGGGGCAACCUGACGCAGCCAUGCCGCGUGAAUGAAGAAGGCCUUCGGGUUGUAAAGUUCUUUCGGUAGAGAGGCGUUAACUACAGAGGAAGCACCGGCUAACUCCGUGCCAGCCGCCGCGGUAAUAC
rnacentral:rRNA from 1 species